CUGCGUUAGGGAUUGAAGCGAUAUCCUUUUUUGUUUUUAUAAAAAAGAUUUAGCGAAAAGCCCGACCACGC
rnacentral:sRNA from 12 species